CCUUACCCACAGAUCGUCACUUCAGUCCACCCGAAACCCCGCCUUUGAACAUAGUCCGACCCCAGACUGCCCUUCCAGAGGUCAGGGGCCCUAGACCAAUCCCAGACGAUGCCCCCAAGCCAGCGAGCCACCCCUCGCAGAAGCAGUCUCGAGUUGAAGUUACUGCAUUCAGCUUUGUCUGGGCGAAAGGAGGCGUGGUCUCUGAUGGGGAGAAACACCCACACUAGGGAAGCUAACUCUCGCCUCCAAGGGAGCUCACCAGAGAGGUGCAAGGACGGGGCGCAAAAGGAUGGAUGGCUUGGAGGCAGCCGUUCGUGGCGUUAUUGUGCCUGGAGUCUGACCUCUCACUCUUUCAACAUUGGCUACUUUGAAAAGCAUUUGCUGCAAAAGAAAUGAAGGAAAGCAGAAAAGAGUCACUGCUCCAGGCCAUGGACUUCCUGGAAUGCAUGAGGCCUGCUAGGGAAGGAAGGUGUUCAAUUAUUUCUCUGCUGCCAGCAAAAAAAAAAAAAAAAAAAAAAAAGCCA